rnacentral:rRNA from 1 species
AUAUCAAUAAGCGGAGGAAAAGAAACCAACAGGGAUUGCCCCAGUAAUGGCGAAUGAAGCGGCAACAGCUCAAAUUUGAAAUCUGGCCCUUCCGGGGUCCGAGUUGUAAUUUGUAGAGGAUGCUUCGGCGUUGGCCCCGGGAUAGGUCCCUUGGAACAGGGCGCCCCAGAGGGUGAGAGCCCCGUACUCGCCCGGACGGCCCUCGCCGCGUGAAGCUCCUUCGAAGAGUCGAGUUGUUUGGGAAUGCAGCUCUAAGCGGGAGGUGAAUUUCUUCUAAAGCUAAAUACCGGCCAGAGACCGAUAGCGCACAAGUAGAGUGAUCGAAAGAUGAAAAGCACUUUGGAAAGAGAGUUAAAAAGCACGUGAAAUUGUUGAAAGGGAAGCUCUUGCCGCCAGACUUGCCGCGGUCGCUCAGCCGUCCCCUCGGGGUCGGUGUACUCGUCCGCGGCAGGCCAGCGUCAGUUCGGGCGGCCGGAAAAAGGUCCUGGGAACGUGGCCCCCCACGGGGGGUGUUAUAGCCCGGGGCGCAAUGCGGUCGGACCGGUCUGAGGAGCGCGUUCGCGAGGACGCUGGCGUAAUGGCUGCAAGCGACCCGUCUUGAAACACGGACCAAGGAGUCUAACAUCUGUGCGAGUGUCUGGGUGUCAAACUCAUGCGCGCAAUGAAAGUGAACGGAGGUGGGAACCCCGCCCCGAGGGGCGCACCAUCGACCGAUCCUGAUGUCUUCGGAUGGAUUUGAGUAAGAGCAUAGCUGUUGGGACCCGAAAGAUGGUGAACUAUACCUGAAUAGGGUGAAGCCAGAGGAAACUCUGGUGGAGGCCCGCAGCGGUUCUGACGUGCAAAUCGAUCGUCAAAUUUGGGUAUAGGGGCGAAAGACUAAUCGAACCAU